rnacentral:tRNA from 1 species
GCCCCUGUGGCGGAAUGGUAGACGCAGUCGACUUAAAAUCGACCGCUACGGCGUGCGGGUUCGAGUCCCGCCGGGGGGCA